AGAGAGAGACAUGCGCGCAUAUCAAUAAGCGGAGGAAAAGAAACUAACAAGGAUUCCCCUAGUAACGGCGAGUGAAGCGGGAAGAGCUCAAAUUUGAAAUCUUAAAGGGUUUCCCUUUACGAAUUGUAGUUUAAAGAAGUGUUUUCUGUUGAGGUUUUGGUAAAAGUUCUUUGGAAUAGGACAUCAUAGAGGGUGAGAAUCCCGUAUUUGACCUUUACUUUCAACUUUGUGAUACACUUUCAAAGAGUCGGAUUGUUUGGGAAUGCAGUCCAAAAUGGGUGGUAAAUUUCAUCUAAAGCUAAAUAUUGGCGAGAGACCGAUAGCGAACAAGUACCGUGAGGGAAAGAUGAAAAGAACUUUGAAAAGAGAGUUAAACAGUACGUGAAAUUGUCAAAAGGGAAGCGUUUGACACCAGUGUUGUUUUUCUGAAAAUCAAUUAAAGAACUGUUUAUGCUAAGUUGUUUAGACUUUAUCAGCUAACUGUUUAGUUUUGAGCCUUUUCUUUAAUGCACUUUUCAGUUAACAAGUCAACAUCAAUUUCUUUUGCUGUAAAAAAGCUUGAGGAAGGUGGCUUGAGAUUCGUCUUAAGUGUUUAUAGCCUCUUGCCUAUGCAGUCGGAGAGAUUGAGGUCUGCAGCGUAGAUCCUUCGGGGCUAAGUGCAUUUGUGCUAAGUUAUAGCAUUUUAUAGACAACUUGUUGACUAUGAUUUGUCUUGUAGCUUACUCGCUUAUGUUAUUUUACCUACGCUUAGGAUGUUGAGCGCAUGUCUCUCUCU
rnacentral:rRNA from 1 species